rnacentral:lncRNA from 1 species
UGAGCGUCUGGUCCGAAUCGUUGGCUUGGAGAUGAUUUUACGGGCUCUUUCUGGAGAACAAAAGUAAAACGUUACAGUGUUCCGAUGAGACACAGUAGGCAGUACUUGGGAGGGUCUUAUAGACCCCACCCUGUGGAAGUGGGUCUCAACAUUACACAACCCCCUCUCGGGCCCGUGGACAGUUGCUGUCCUCUCUGUUUUCUCUCUUUGUGCCUGUGCCCCCCUCAGAGAAGAAGAAAGGAGCUGAGGAGGAGAAGCCAAAGAGGAGGAGGCAGGAGAAGCAGGCAGCCUGCCCCUUCUACAACCACGAGCAGAUGGGCCUUCUCCGGGAUGAGGCCCUGGCAGAGGUGAAGGACAUGGAGCAGCUGCUGGCCCUUGGGAAGGAGGCCCGGGCCUGUCCCUAUUACGGGAGCCGCCUUGCCAUCCCUGCAGCCCAGAUGAGGAAAGCAAGGGUCAGAGAGGUUAGACAACUCUUCCAGAGUCACACAGCUGGGAAGUAGCAGCUCCAGGAGCAGAAGCU